rnacentral:rRNA from 1 species
GACGAACGCUGGCGGCGUGCUUAACACAUGCGAGUCGAACGGAAAGGCCCUGCUUUUGUGGGGUGCUCGAGUGGCGAACGGGUGAGUAACACGUUAGUAACCUGCCCUUGACUUUGGGAUAACUUCAGGAAACUGGGGCUAAUACCGGAUAGGAGCUCCUGCUGCAUGGUGGGGGUUGGAAAGUUUCGGCGGUUGGGGAUGGACUCGCGGCUUAUCAGCUUGUUGGUGGGGUAGUGGCUUACCAAGGCUUUGACGGGUAGCCGGCCUGAGAGUGUGACCGGCAACAUUGGGACUGAGAUACGGCCCAGAAUCCUAAGGGAGGCAGCAGUGGGGAAUAUUGCACAAUGGGCGGAAGCCUGAUGCAGCAACGCCGCGUGCGGGAUGACGGCCUUCGGGUUGUAAACCGCUUUCGCCUGUGACGAAGCGUGAGUGACGGUAAUGGGUAAAGAAGCACCGGCUAACUACGUG